AAGACAAGAAACAAUCAAAUAGCCAGGGAAGCUCGCCAAAUUAACCAAACAAGGUUAGUUCCUUAAUCAUCCAUGAAUAUGGUUGGGAUAGCUAGGCAAGUCAUCCUUGGCUACCAGACAUGAAUCUUUGUCC
rfam:Medicago truncatula strain A17 chromosome 8, whole genome shotgun sequence.